rnacentral:rRNA from 1 species
AUUCCAGACUCCUACGGGAGGCAGCAGUGGGGAAUAUUGCACAAUGGGGGAAACCCUGAUGCAGCAACGCCGCGUGAGUGAAGAAGUAUUUCGGUAUGUAAAGCUCUAUCAGCAGGGAAGAAAAUGACAGUACCUGACUAAGAAGCCCCGACUAACUGCGUGCCAGCAGCCGCGGUAAUACGUAGGGGGCAAGCGUUAUCCGGAUUUACUGGGUGUAAAGGGAGCGUAGACGGCUGCGCAAGUCAGAAGUGAAAGCCCGGGGCUCAACCGCGGGACUGCAUUGGAAACUGUAUAUCUAGAGUGUCGGAGAGGCAAGUGGAAUUCCUGGUGUAGCGGUGAAAUGCGUAGAUAUCAGGAGGAACACCAGUGGCGAAGGCGGCUUGCUGGACGAUGACUGACGUUGAGGCUCGAAAGCGUGGGGAGCAAACAGGAUUAGAUACCCGAGUAAA